rnacentral:rRNA from 1 species
CCUACGGGGUGCAGCAGUGGGGGAUAUUGCACAAUGGGGGGAACCCUGAUGCAGCGACGCCGCGUGGGUGAAGGAGUGCUUCGGCAUGUAAAGCCCUAUCGGCAGGGAAGAAGCAAGACGGUACCUGACUAAGAAGCCCCGGCUAACUACGUGCCAGCAGCCGCGGUAAUACGUAGGGGGCGAGCGUUAUCCGGAUUCACUGGGUGUAAAGGGAGCGUAGACGGCCAUGCCAGCCAGGGGUGAAAGCCCGGGGCCCAACCCCGGGACUGCCCUUGGAACUGUGCGGCUAGAGUGCGGGAGGGGCAGGCGGAAUUCCUGGUGUAGCGGUGAAAUGCGUAGAUAUCAGGAGGAACACCGGCGGCGAAGGCGGCCUGCUGGACCGCGACUGACGUUGAGGCUCGAAAGCGUGGGGAGCGAACAGGAUUAGAUACCCCUGUAGUC